CCUACGGGUGGCAGCAGUGGGGAAUAUUGCACAAUGGGGGAAACUCUGAUGCAGCAACGCCGCGUGAGUGAUGAAUUCUUUCGGUAUGUUAAGCUCUAUCAGUAGGGAAGUAGAAAGACGGUCCCUGACUAAUAAGCCCCGGCUAACUACGUGCCAGAAGCCGCGGUAAUACGUAGGGGGCACGCGUUAUCCGGAUUUACUGGGUGUAAAGGGAGCGUAGAUGGGUGUGCAAGUCUGAUGUGAAAGCCCGUGGCUGAACCGCAGAACUGCUUUGGAAACUGUAUAGCUUGAGUACUGGAGAGGCAGGCGGAAUUCUUAGUGUAGCGGUGAAAUGCGUAGAUAGUAGGAGGAACACCAGUGGCGAAGGCGGCCUGCUAGACAGAAACUGACGUUGAGGCUCGAAAGCGUGGGGAGCAAACAGGAUUAGAUACCCUAGUAGUC
rnacentral:rRNA from 1 species